rnacentral:rRNA from 1 species
AUAUCAGUCAUGCAUAGCAUAUCAAUAAGCGGAGGAAAAGAAACUAACAAGGAUUCCCUUAGUAACGGCGAGUGAAGCGGGAAGAGCUCAAAUUUGAAAUCUUCAAGGUUCUACCUUGACGAAUUGUAGUUUAUAGAAGUGUUUUCUGUUAGUGGAGUGGCAAAAGUUCUUUGGAAUAGGACAUCAUAGAGGGUGAGAAUCCCGUAUUUGGUCAUUCCUCCUAGCGUUGUGAUACACUUUCAACGAGUCGGAUUGUUUGGGAAUGCAGUCCAAAAUGGGUGGUAAAUUUCAUCUAAAGCUAAAUAUUGGCGAGAGACCGAUAGCGAACAAGUACCGUGAGGGAAAGAUGAAAAGAACUUUGAAAAGAGAGUUAAACAGUACGUGAAAUUGUCAAAAGGGAAGCGUUUGACACCAGUGUUGUUUUUCCGAAAAUCAAUUACGAAUGUUUUAGUUUUUGAGGAGUUAUGACUUCAUCGGCUUGCUCCUUUCUUUAUGAAACUUUCUUAAUGCACUUUUCGGUUAACAAGUCAACAUCAAUUUCUUUUGUUGUAAAAGAGUCAUUGGAAGGUGGCUUUCAUUUCGGUGAAAGUGUUUAUAGCCUUUGACUUCUGCAAUCGGAGAGAUUGAGGUCUGCAGCGUAGAUCCUUCGGGGUUAGAUACAUUUGUGCUAAGUUAUAGUUUUUCAUAGACAACAUGUUGACUAUGAUUAAUCAUGUAGCUUACUCGCUUAUGCUAUUUUACCUACGCUUAGGAUGUUGAUGUGAUACUGCGAGCA